GCCAGGAUGGCCGAACGGUAAGGCGCACGCCUGGAAAGCGUGUUCCCUUACGGGAUUCAGGGUUCAAAUCCCUGUCCUGGCG
rnacentral:tRNA from 1 species